CAGCAGCCACGGUAAAACGUAGGGUGCAAGCGUUAAUCGGAAUUACCGGGCGUAAAGCGUGCGCAGGCGGUUUGUUAAGACAGAUGUGAAAUCCCCGGGCUCAACCUGGGAAUUGCAUUUGUGACUGGCAAGCUAGAGUAUGGCAGAGGGGGGUGGAAUUCCGCGUGUAGCAGUGAAAUGCGUAGAUAUGCGGAGGAACACCGAUGGCGAAGGCAGCCCCCUGGGCCAAUACUGACGCUCAUGCACGAAAGCGUGGGGAGCAAACAGGAUUAGAUACCCGGGUAGUCCCUGUCUCUUAUAA
rnacentral:rRNA from 1 species